CACGGGGGGAGCAAGCGUUGUUCGGAAUCACUGGGCGUAAAGGGCGUGUAGGCGGUUAGGUAAGUGGGAUGUGAAAUGCCCCGGCUCACCCGGGGACCUGCAUCCCAAACUGCCCGACUUGAGUAUGGGAGAGGAUGAGGGAAUUCCUGGUGUAGCGGUGAAAUGCGUAGAUAUCAGGAGGAACACCGGUGGCGAAGGCGGGUCUCUGGGCCGAUAUUGACGCUGAGGAGCGAAAGCGUGGGGAGCGAACAGG
rnacentral:rRNA from 1 species